UACGUAGGUGGCAAGCGUUGUCCGGAUUUACUGGGCGUAAAGAGCGCGCAGGCGGUCGUUCAAGUCGCGUGUGAAAGCCCCCGGCUCAACUGGGGAGGGGUCAUUCGAUACUGAUCGACUCGAAGGCAGGAGAGGGUAGUGGAAUUCCCGGUGUAGUGGUGAAAUGCGUAGAUAUCGGGAGGAACACCAGUGGCGAAGGCGACUACCUGGCCUGUUCUUGACGCUGAGGCGCGAAAGCUAGGGGAGCAAACGGG
rnacentral:rRNA from 1 species